UGGGGAAUAUUGGGGCAAUGGGGCGCAAGCCUGACCCAGCAACGCCGCGUGAAGGAAGAAGGCUUUCGGGUUGUAAACUUCUUUUGUCAGGGACGAGUAGAAGACGGUACCUGACGAAUAAGCCACGGCUAACUACGUGCCAGCAGCCGCGGUAAUACGUAGGUGGCAAGCGUUGUCCGGAUUUACUGGGUGUAAAGGGCGUGUAGCCGGGAGGGCAAGUCAGAUGUGAAAUCCACGGGCUCAACUCGUGAACUGCAUUUGAAACUACUCUUCUUGAGUAUCGGAGAGGCAAUCGGAAUUCCUAGUGUAGCGGUGAAAUGCGUAGAUAUAAGGAAGAACACCAGUGGCGAAGGCGAUCUACUGGACAGUAACUGACGCUGAGGCGCGAAAGCGUGGGGAGC
rnacentral:rRNA from 1 species